AGUAACCUGCCUUGGAGAGGGGAAUAACACAUCGAAAGAUGUGCUAAUACCGCAUGAAAUGUCUGAAUCGCAUGGUUCUGGACAUCAAAGAUUUAUCGCUCUGAGAUGGACUCGCGUCUGAUUAGCUGGUUGGCGGGGUAACGGCCCACCAAGGCGACGAUCAGUAGCCGGACUGAGAGGUUGGCCGGCCACAUUGGGACUGAGACACGGCCCAGACUCCUACGGAAGGCAGCAG
rnacentral:rRNA from 1 species